CGAGCCCAGGGCCCACUGUUGUAGGUCUGUAAGGUGAGCCGAGCCCAGGGCCCACUGUUGUAGGUCUGUAAGGUGAGCCGAGCCCAGGGCCCACUGUUGUAGGUCUGUAAGGUGAGCCGAGCCCAGGGCCCACUGUUGUAGGUCUGUAAGGUGAGCCGAGCCCAGGGCCCACUGUUGUAGGUCUGUAAGGUGAGCCGAGCCCAGGGCCCACUGUUGUAGGUCUGUAAGGUGAGCCGAGCCCAGGGCCCACUGUUGUAGGUCUGUAAGGUGAGCCGAGCCCAGGGCCCACUGUUGUAGGUCUGUAAGGUGAGCCGAGCCCAGGGCCCACUGUUGUAGGUCUGUAAGGUGAGCCGAGCCCAGGGCCCACUGUUGUAGGUCUGUAAGGUGAGCCGAGCCCAGGGCCCACUGUUGUAGGUCUGUAAGGUGAGCCGAGCCCAGGGCCCACUGUUGUAGGUCUGUAAGGUGAGCCGAGCCCAGGGCCCACUGUUGUAGGUCUGUAAGGUGAGCCGAGCCCAGGGCCAACUGUUGUAGGUCUGUAAGGAGGGAAUAUGGUAGAAUGUCCACCACCACACUGAUUAUACCUAUCCAGACCCUUCACAUCUGCAAACAUAUAAAUCCUGUGUCACACCAAGCAAUUUGGAUAAAAUUUCUGUUGCAGAUGCAAGUGACAUCAGCUUUGCUGAUACACAAAGCAAUUCAAAUGCAAUAGAAAUGCAUGCAACCUCCAACCCUGUCAUACAUCAUGGUAUCAUAAAUUAUUUGUUUUGCCAAACGUUUGGUAAUUGUAACAUAAUCGUUAUAGACAAUGCUGGCUGUAAAAUUGAGCUAGUUAGCGAAAAUGUUGCAGUUUUGCCAAGCUACUGUAACUAGCUAGCAAAACAAGUUAGCGAUGAGCUAAGUUAGCUAGCUAGUGCAGUUCAUGUUGGACAGAAAUGUCUGGGGGAGGAGACAGGUUAAAGAAGGAUUUUUAAGCCUUGACACAACUGAAAUAUGGAUUGUAUAUGUGUGCCAUUCAGAAGGUGAAUGACCAAGACAAUAUAGAAGUAUCUUUGAACAGGGUAUGGUAGUACAGUAGGUUCCAGGCACACUGGUUUGUGUUAAGAACUGCAACUCUGCUUACUAAGCUAACAUUUUGUUGAUGUAUUUAACCCCUUAGUUUAAGCACUAAACUAUCUCCAUUAAGUUCCAUGUAUUUUUUUAAAAAGUGGUGCACGGCUACCUUCAGACUCGUCUUAUGAGGGUUGUGGACGUCCUGGAGCGAAACAACUGACAUGUACGUGUUUGUUAGGGUCAUAUUAGUGUGUAGCCCAAACUGUUCAAACACUACAGACAGAAGUUGGCAGAUCGGAUGUACCGACUUCAGACGAGUCCCGGGAUGCUUGUGG